AGUGAACGCUGGCGGUAGGCCUAACACAUGCAAGUCGAACGGCAGCACAGUAAGAGCUUGCUCUUACGGGUGGCGAGUGGCGGACGGGUGAGGAAUACAUCGGAAUCUACUUUUUCGUGGGGGAUAACGUAGGGAAACUUACGCUAAUACCGCAUACGACCUACGGGUGAAAGCAGGGGAUCUUCGGACCUUGCGCGAUUGAAUAAGCCGAUGUCGGAUUAGCUAGUUGGCGGGGUAAAGGCCCACCAAGGCGACGAUCCGUAGCUGGUCUGAGAGGAUGAUCAGCCACACUGGAACGGAGACACGGUCCAGACUCCUACGGGAGGCAGCAGUGGGGAAUAUUGGACAAUGGGCGCAAGCCUGAUCCAGCCAUACCGCGUGGGUGAAGAAGGCCUUCGGGUUGUAAAGCCCUUUUGUUGGGAAAGAAAAGCAGCAGGUUAAUACCCCGCUGUUCUGACGGUACCCAAAGAAUAAGCACCGGCUAACUUCGUG
rnacentral:rRNA from 1 species